UAUAAGAAGAGGCAUCUCUUGAAUAUCAAAGGUGAGCCAGUGCAGGCUGUACCCGCGUCUGAUUAGGUAGGAGGUAGGGGAACGGCUUACCAAGGCGACGAUCAGUGGCCGACCGGAGAGGUGGAUCGGCCACAUGGGAACUGAGACACGGUCCAAACUCCAACGGGAGGCAGCAGGGGGGAAUAUUGGACAAUGGGAGAAAGCCUGAUGCAGCAACGCCGCGUGAUUGAUGAAGGCCUUCGGGUCGUAAAACUCUGUCCUCAAGGAAGAUAAUGACGGUACUUGAGGAGGAAGCCCCGGCUAACUACGUGCCAGCAGCCGCGGUAAUACGUAGGGGGCUAGCGUUAUCCGGAUUUACUGGGCGUAAAGGGUGCGUAGGCGGUCUUUCAAGUCAGGAGUGAAAGGCUACGGCUCAACCGUAGUAAGCUCUUGAAACUGGGAGACUUGAGUGCAG
rnacentral:rRNA from 1 species